rnacentral:rRNA from 1 species
AACCAACCGGGAUUGCCUUAGUAACGGCGAGUGAAGCGGCAAAAGCUCAAAUUUGAAAUCUGGUACCUUCGGUGCCCGAGUUGUAAUUUGGAGAGGGCAACUUUGGGGCCGUUCCUUGUCUAUGUUCCUUGGAACAGGACGUCAUAGAGGGUGAGAAUCCCGUGUGGCGAGGAGUGCGGUUCUUUGUAAAGUGCCUUCGAAGAGUCGAGUUGUUUGGGAAUGCAGCUCUAAGUGGGUGGUAAAUUCCAUCUAAAGCUAAAUAUUGGCGAGAGACCGAUAGCGAACAAGUACAGUGAUGGAAAGAUGAAAAGAACUUUGAAAAGAGAGUGAAAAAGUACGUGAAAUUGUUGAAAGGGAAGGGCAUUUGAUCAGACAUGGUGUUUUGUGCCCUCUGCUCCUUGUGGGUAGGGGAAUCUCGCAUUUCACUGGGCCAGCAUCAGUUUUGGUGGCAGGAUAAAUCCAUAGGAAUGUAGCUUGCCUCGGUAAGUAUUAUAGCCUGUGGGAAUACUGCCAGCUGGGACUGAGGACUGCGACGUAAGUCAAGGAUGCUGGCAUAAUGGUUAUAUGCCG